GUGGCAAGCGUUGUCCGGAAUUAUUGGGCGUAAAGCGCGCGCAGGCGGAUCAGUUAGUCUGUCUUAAAAGUUCGGGGCUUAACCCCGUGAUGGGAUGGAAACUGCUGAUCUAGAGUAUCGGAGAGGAAAGUGGAAUUCCUAGUGUAGCGGUGAAAUGCGUAGAUAUUAGGAAGAACACCAGUGGCGAAGGCGACUUUCUGGACGAAAACUGACGCUGAGGCGCGAAAGCCAGGGGAGCGAACGGGAUUAGAUACCCCGGUAGUCCUGGCCGUAAACGAUGGGUACUAGGUGUAGGAGGUAUCGACCCCUUCUGUGCCGGAGUUAACGCAAUAAGUACCCCGCCUGGGGAGUACGACCGCAAGGUUGAAACUCAAAGGAAUUGACGGGGGCCCGCACAAGCGGUGGAGUAUGUGGUUUAAUUCGACGCAACGCGAAGAACCUUACCAGGUCUUGACAU
rnacentral:rRNA from 1 species